rnacentral:lncRNA from 1 species
GGAACAAGGCGGGUGGGGACAAGAGGGACAGGGAUAAGGGGGAUGGGGACAAGGAGGGCAGGGUAAAGGGGGAUGUGAAUUAAGGGGACAGGAACAAGGUGGAUAAGGGGACGGGGACAAGAAGGAUGAGGACAAGGGGGAUGGGGAUGAGAGGGAUGGGGAUAAGGUGGGCGGGGAUGAGGGGGACAGAAACAAGGGGGAUGGGGAUGAGGUGGGUGGGGACAAGGGACAGGAAGAAGGUGGGUGGGGACGAGGGGCACAGGGACUAGGGGCACUGGGACGAGGAGCCUGGGGACGAGGGGGAUGGGAGCAAGGCGAGUGCGGAUCUUUUACGUCUUCACAGGUGGCCUUAACGCCUGCCAUUCUCCACAGAGGGUAGAGUUGCAGGAGCUUCCACUUUGAUUUUCCCACUACAAGACUCACUCUGUUGAUCAAGGAACCAGUUGAGGUUUUGCCCAGUUGCCAGCUUCAAAUACAUACUUCAUCGCCUGCUUGGUGAAAAUGGAGCUGGGCCCUAAAUUGUUUCUCCUUUAAAGCAGAUGCUCCACUGGUCAGCAUCCAGCCUCAGCCUGCCCCAGAGAGGUGUUUCCUGCUUGCCAGUCCUGGCCAGGCUCCCUACCUGCCACCUUCAACCCCUCUACACCUGCAGGAGUGAUUGCCCAUUGACUGUGGACCAGCUCUGGCUACGGGAAAACCAGAGAACCUCUCCAUCAUCCAUACUGCACCAAACAGCAUCUCUGCAACCACACCUUUUCCAAGAUUUGAGCCCCAGCCUUGGGGAGGAGGCCAUCUUUCACAUUUUCUCCUUCCUUGGGAACUCUCUGUCAGCCCAGAGUAUUCUUUUGCAUUAUCUUUAGCCCUGUACAGAUAAUUCCAUUAUAGUAAAUAAUCCUUUAUAUUAAACGUUCCUUGCCCAAAUGACUGUGCAG